rnacentral:rRNA from 1 species
AUAUCAAUAAGCGGAGGAAAAGAAACCAACAGGGAUUGCCUUAGUAGCGGCGAGUGAAGCGGCAAAAGCUCAAAUUUGAAAUCUGGCUCUUUCAGAGUCCGAGUUGUAAUUUGAAGAAGGUAUCUUUGGGUCUGGCUCUUGUCUAUGUUUCUUGGAACAGAACGUCACAGAGGGUGAGAAUCCCGUGCGAUGAGAUGAUCCAGGCCUAUGUAAAGUUCCUUCGAAGAGUCGAGUUGUUUGGGAAUGCAGCUCUAAGUGGGUGGUAAAUUCCAUCUAAAGCUAAAUAUUGGCGAGAGACCGAUAGCGAACAAGUACAGUGAUGGAAAGAUGAAAAGAACUUUGAAAAGAGAGUGAAAAAGUACGUGAAAUUGUUGAAAGGGAAGGGCUUGAGAUCAGACUUGGUAUUUUGUAUGUUACUUCUUCGGGGGUGGCCUCUACAGUUUAUCGGGCCAGCAUCAGUUUGGGCGGUAGGAGAAUUGCGUUGGAAUGUGGCACGGCUUUGGUUGUGUGUUAUAGCCUUCGUCGAUACUGCCAGCCUAGACUGAGGACUGCGGUUUAUACCUAGGAUGUUGGCAUAAUGAUCUUAAGUCGCCCGUCUUGAAACACGG